CUGCAGCCAAUUAAGCCGACCGUGCUCUUUUCUCCAUAGGGGCCCGGUGUGCAAUGGCCGCAAACAGCAGCAUCCUUGGUAGUGUAUGCAGCCUAUUGUUUGUGUGGGUUGUUCUAAGGGACCUUGGAGACAGUC
ensembl:snoRNA SNORA70 Small nucleolar RNA SNORA70